rfam:Mesorhizobium sp. Root554 contig_1, whole genome shotgun sequence.
AUGGCCGAUGCGAAACUGCCGGACCUUCAAAGCGGCUAUGAAAAAGGCAUCAGCAAUGUGCUGGCCGGUCUGGCCGGGCUCAACAUGGUCUACGAGGCGG